GAGGGAUUAGGGUUAGACCCUCAUAACAUCACACAAAAAUCGCCAUCCUCUCUCUCCAUUACUACGAGUUCUUCAACCCUAAAGAACUCGGUACUACCAUCAAGAAGAUACAUCCUAAAGGGGAACCAGACCAAUCUGACGAACAUGACGUCUACUUCCCUCUCUGGUGUGGUGACUGCUAAUCAGGGUUUAUGUUUUACCCAUGAUCUUAUGAUAUAAUCAACAUGUGGUAUCAGAGCGUAUGUUGAUUAUAUCAAUUCAAUCAAGGAUAUCAAUGAAUUGAACUAUAUGAAUUAAUCAAAACAUUAAGAUUGUAUUUUUCCAGAUUUGCGAUUUUUUAAUCUGGAUAUUGAUUUGAAAAUUAAAUCAAUCAUAAUUACCUUUUGUUUGAUGGUGACUAAAUCAUUUUUUUUUAUGAGAAUAAUCGCCCAGAAUUGCUUUAUGUGGCUUUGAAAUUUAAAAGUAUAAUUAAUUCAAUGAAUUGUUUUUUGUAUUAAAGUUCACAUGAAUAUUGAACUGAAGUCAUGUGUUCUUGUAAUGACUCCAUAAAUUCAUUUUUUAAUCCACGCAUAAAUUGAAUUUCGUGGAAUGGAUGGAUUUUCUCAUUGAAAUAUAAUCCACGCAUAUAUUUGAAUUUUCUCAUUCAAAUAUAAUCAACAUGAAUAUUAAAUCAAUUAUUAUAUUGAGAUUUCAUUUAUUUUAUUUAUAUGAAUGUUUGUUAUGAUGUCACCUAAUUUUGUGAUAGAUUAGAUUUUGAUUAUAUUUCCUAAAAUUGUAUAACUUUAUCUCCAAGUUUCGAAUAAUAUAUUAUUUA
rnacentral:lncRNA from 1 species